CAGCAGCCGCGGGAAAACGUAGGGUGCAAGCGUUAAUCGGAAUUACUGGGCGUAAAGCGUGCGCAGGCGGUUCUAUAAGACAGAUGUGAAAUCCCCGGGCUCAACCUGGGAACUGCAUUUGUGACUGUAGAGCUGGAGUGCGGCAGAGGGGGAUGGAAUUCCGCGCGUAGCAGUGAAAUGCGUAGAUAUGCGGAGGAACACCGAUGGCGAAGGCAAUCCCCUGGGCCUGCACCGACGCUCAUGCACGAAAGCGUGGGGAGCAAACAGGAUUAGAUACCCCCGUAGUCCCUGUCUCUUUUAA
rnacentral:rRNA from 1 species